UACAGAGGUCUCAAGCGUUGUUCGGAUUUACUGGGCGUAAAGGGCGCGUAGGCGGCCAGCGCAAGUCAGUUGUGAAAUCUCCGGGCUUAACUCGGAAAGGUCAACUGAUACUGCGCGGCUAGAGUGCAGAAGGGGCAACUGGAAUUCUCGGUGUAGCGGUGAAAUGCGUAGAUAUCGAGAGGAACACCUGCGGCGAAGGCGGGUUGCUGGGCUGACACUGACGCUGAGGCGCGAAAGCUAGGGGAGCGAACGGG
rnacentral:rRNA from 1 species